GAAGUACUCCCUCCGUUCCAAAAUUCUUGUCUUAACUUUGUUUAGAAAUAGAUGUAUCUAAUUACUAAAACUUGACUAGAUACAUUCAUAUCAUAUCUAAACAAAUCUAAGACAAUAAUUUUGGAACGGAGGGAGUAUUUA
rfam:Hordeum vulgare subsp. vulgare, WGS project CAJW01000000 data, contig: morex_contig_134507